rnacentral:rRNA from 1 species
UACGUAGGGGGCUAGCGUUGUCCGGAAUCAUUGGGCGUAAAGAGCGUGUAGGCGGCCCGGUAAGUCCGCUGUGAAAGUCGGGGGCUCAACCCUCGAAUGCCGGUGGAUACUGUCGGGCUAGAGUGCGGAAGAGGCGAGUGGAAUUCCUGGUGUAGCGGUGAAAUGCGCAGAUAUCAGGAGGAACACCGAUUGCGAAGGCAGCUCGCUGGGACGUAACUGACGCUGAGACGCGAAAGCAUGGGGAGCGAACAGG